rnacentral:rRNA from 1 species
GACGAACUCUGGCGGCGUGCCUAACACAUGCAAGUCGAACGGAGAAUUUUAUUUCGGUAGAAUUCUUAGUGGCGAACGGGUGAGUAACGCGUAGGCAACCUGCCCUUUAGACGGGGACAACAUUCCGAAAGGAGUGCUAAUACCGGAUGUGAUCAUCGUGCCGCAUGGCAGGAUGAAGAAAGAUGGCCUCUACAAGUAAGCUAUCGCUAAAGGAUGGGCCUGCGUCUGAUUAGCUAGUUGGUAGUGUAACGGACUACCAAGGCGAUGAUCAGUAGCCGGUCUGAGAGGAUGAACGGCCACAUUGGGACUGAGACACGGCCCAAACUCCUACGGGAGGCAGCAGUGGGGAAUCUUCCGCAAUGGACGAAAGUCUGACGGAGCAACGCCGCGUGAGUGAUGAAGGAUUUCGGUCUGUAAAGCUCUGUUGUUUAUGACGAACGUGCAGUGUGUGAACAAUGCAUUGCAAUGACGGUAGUAAACGAGGAAGCCACGGCUAACUACGUGCCAGCAGCCGCGGUAAUACGUAGGUGGCGAGCGUUGUCCGGAAUUAUUGGGCGUAAAGAGCAUGUAGGCGGCUUAAUAAGUCGAGCGUGAAAGUGCGGGGCUCAUCCCCGUAUGGCGCUGGAAACUGUUAGGCUUGAGUGCAGGAGAGGAAAGGGGAAUUCCCAGUGUAGCGGUGAAAUGCGUAGAUAUUGGGAGGAACACCAGUGGCGAAGGCGCCUUUCUGGACUGUGUCUGACGCUGAGAUGCGAAAGCCAGGGUAGCGAA